rnacentral:rRNA from 1 species
UACGUAGGGGGCUAGCGUUGUCCGGAAUCAUUGGGCGUAAAGCGCGUGUAGGCGGUCCGGUAAGUCCGCUGUGAAAGUCGGGGGCUCAACCCUCGAAUGCCGGUGGAUACUGUCGGGCUAGAGUGCGGAAGAGGCGAGUGGAAUUCCUGGUGUAGCGGUGAAAUGCGCAGAUAUCAGGAGGAACACCGGUGGCGAAGGCGGAUCUCUGGGCCUUACCUGACGCUGAGGCGCGAAAGCUAGGGGAGCAAACAGG